GCACCCGUAGCUCAGUUGGAUAGAGCGUCUGCCUCCGGAGCAGAAGGUCGUGCGUUCGAGUCGCGCCGGGUGCACCA
rnacentral:tRNA from 1 species